CAGACCUACUGUAUAUUCAUGCUGUUAAACACUGUCAGAGGAGCUCCCGAAACUUCAGCCUUUGUUUUUACAGUUCUCCUUUUUUUUUUUUCUUUUCAGGAACAUUUUUUUCACUGAAUCAUCUGCUGUGUUAAACAAAAGUAAGUGUGCAUGCAAGGUAGUUUUUUGUGUACAUGCUGACUAUAUUGGAUAAACCCACUUCACCUAUGUUAACAUACAUGAAAACUACACUUUGGUUUGUACGUCUGGAAUGACUUUCAAAGCAAAAGUCUGAUCUGGUCUUUCCGUGGAGAGAUUCCCUUUGUCUUCACACAAUGCUUUUAUUUUGAAGUUGUGUCCAGGACAGUUUUUUUUUUUUUUUUUGGUUGUAUAAAGUUGUAGAAAAGUUGUAAAAUCUAACCUUAUGCUGUAGGAAAUAUUUUGUCUUUUGUGAUCUCCCUCUUUCUUUAAGUCUUUCUUUUUGCCUCUCUUUGCUCGGUGGAUGUUGGUGUGAUUUAAGCAUAAAUAAAUCCAGACGACCUGACAUUUUUCAUUGAAAAGAAUUAAGACAAACAUAAAACAGAGUGAAAAUUCAUCAAGACACAACUUACUGAUCAAAUUGAGGUUCAAGUAGGGGCAGAGCCAGACUGUUUUCUCUGGGGUGGCCAGACCAGGGCCAGAUGCAGCUGAUAUUUGGAGCUAACCCCCAUCCUAAGUGACUAUCUCCAGUAAUCAUAACUAUCUGAAACUCCUAAUAUUAAAGAGUCCAAUUCAAAUCUGUUUUCGGAAACUCUUCAAGAAACCUCUCUGACUCCAAGAUCAGUAGUCCUCUCCUCUGGGACACACAGACCAGCUCCUAACCUGCCCCCAUCUGAAUGACCUGAGGUCAGCAUCACUGUGAGACAGCUACUGCUGCUACUGCUCACAGGGAAACAAACACAUGCGCGCGCGCGCGCACACACACACACACACACACACACACACACACACACACACACACACACACACACACACACACACACACACACACACACACACAAAAGCUUAAGAAGAGAUGAAUGUGGACACUCGGGUUUAUGGACUUUACAUAUGCACUGUACCUCUGGUGAGGAAUGUGACAGACCUGCUGUGUGCGUGUGUGUGUUUUGUGUGUAUGUGAGUGUGUGUGUGAUGCCUUCUCCAGAUGUUGUGUGGUUUCCUGCAGAGCUGGUUUUAAUAAAUGCAGCAGUGGAGGAGAGUAGCAGCAGGGUACACAAUACCUCUGAUGUCAACAUUACACACUCACGCUCUGCUUCUCUUCUGAUAUUCACAUUACACUCCCCGCUCAUACAUACUCUCGCCCACACUUGAGUGCAAAAACACAUGCGGGUCAUUUUACAUGCAAUACACAUGCAGAGUCCAGACGAUGUCCUGCUGCAGCAGAGCUGAGUCUGACUGAUGGACGGACCUCGACAGAUCUGCUUCUCCUCUCACACACUUAGAGAAUCAGAGCAGGAAUCACAGCCUUUCACAGCAGAGUGAUCUCUCUCUCUCUCUCUCUCUCUCUCUCUCUCUCUCUCUCUCUCUCUCUCUCUCUCUCUCUCAACAUCCCUUUUGGGACCUGAGAACCAAGUCUAGACCAGAACUAGCACCAUAUGUCUCCUGGAGACCACAGAGAACAAAACAAAGUCAUCAACAGGCUGCCAGCGAGCAGACCAAUCUCUGUAACCCCCAAAUGAUCUUAACUGCAUUGAGCUGCGGCUGUACUCAUGAAAAUUUGCUUAAAUGUUUCAGCUGAGGAUACUCUUAGAAAUUUAUUUGAGCAAUACUAUCUCGGCUCAAGGAAACACUGUGAGGUCCUUGGGAAGUGCGCCUGCUGCGAUGUCUUAUCAAAUCUCAUGGUCACAAUAAAAUUAAGUUGGUUUAGUCAGGCUGGUCUCAGCUUUGGCACUGGGGUUGUUUUUUUCUUUUGAGUGUUUUCUACUGAAGCCCACAGAGGAAAGAGACAAAAAUAAAUAGGUGCUGCUUUCCAUAGUCUGAUAAACAUAAUUUUCUCCUAUAUUUGUGAAUUUAGAAAAGUUUUGGGGGGAAAAAUUAAAGUCCUCGAUAAUUUCUGACACUAUCUAUUUUAUUUUGAAACUCCUGGGAAAAUCAUCGAAGCAUGGGAGCACAGGUUUGAUGUCAUAAUCAUAUCUAAGGCUGAGAAAUAUGAACAAAUAUCGACAGACUUCACACUAAAUGUCAAUCUAUCUUUUAUCACAUUUAAAGGCUUAGUUUAGUGACAGAGUGAAAUCUAAAGACACCAGGAAGCUAUAGAGUCAUUGCUGCAUGAAAAAACAACUUCUGUUGGCAGGGCUUCCCUUUGACUUUGACUCAUGUAUACGUAAAACUGAAAUAGAUGUGUGAUCAGUGCUAUAAGGGAUGGGACGAAAAAUUAAUUCAGCAUAGUAUUGCAAUAUUUUGUCUGGUGAUAUAUCGUAUCUUCUCAUUGACCAAAAAAAAAAUCUGUUGUUUGUCCAGUGAGGUUAGCAGAGGUGACAUCAUAGAGCAGGAGAAAGUUAGUACAACAAACAGCACCUGGCGAGGGACAUUAAGAAUGCAAGCAGAGCACAAAUGAGAUGGACCUGACACAUGAGGUUUACAAGAUGGGCUUCAUGAAAAUAAAAUACAGCGUAAAUAAGACAAACAUAAGGUAAAGCCAAAUGCUAAAUGAGCUAAGCAGUUAAAAAAAUUGUAUAAAUCACAAUAUAUGGUAUCACAAUACUCAUAUUGCAAAAUGUUAAAAAUCGCAAUAAUAUCAAAUCGUGGCCCAAAUAUCGUGAUAAUAUCGUAUCGUGGACAAUAAGUGAUUCCCACCCUUAGAAUCUAUAGAUUAUAUUGAUGAUACUACUCCUUUAAAAGACCCCAAACUGGCUCAAAAAUCUCUAAUCUUAAUGUUUCAGCACCUCUUACUCCUCGUUAGCGUUUAUUUUCCCUGAUUUAAGUCUUUUCCACCUCUUUGUUGAUAUCACACCAGAAUAACCAACUUAUUUUUAUCUACUGUUCCUCGCUCUCUCUCUCUCUCUCUGCCGGUUUAAUAAGGAGGGACUGGCAGAGGAGUCAGAGUCGACGCCCCCCUACUCUGCUGAGCCACAGUCUCAUUAAGGUGGGAAACAUGCUGACACACACACGCACGCACGCACGCACACACGCACACACGCACACACACACAGUGUCACUCCAUACUGUUGAGCAUAUGGGUUCCUCGUUUCUCUCUUUUCUUCUCUGUCUAUUUGAUUCUGACCUUUUUUUCGUUCUGAGCUCCGGUUGCUUUUCUUACUUCUGACCUUUUCAUUUCUCUGUGAGCAUGUAUUCCCCUUUUUUUCCGCACUUCCUCACUUUAUUUGUGCUGACAAGUCUUUUCAGUUUUUACCUACUAAACAGCUUUCCUCUGCCUCACUGAUGUUUUCUUUCAUUUUACGCACUUUCAUUUCUCUCUCUCCUCUUUUUCUUGUUCUUUGUUUCAUCUUUAGCGUCGCCUGAAGUUACACCAAAGAAGUAUGAUGCCAAGCGUGAGCUGCUGGGAGCACGACGGAGCUCUAGAAAUGACAUAAACCCUGACAUGACAUGAAGUUUAUUCGGCUGAAGCUGUUCUUUCUUGUUUCACCAGCUCAGUAUUUAUGAACUGGGUGUUUCUUUUGAUGUUUAGAUUUC
rnacentral:lncRNA from 1 species